rnacentral:rRNA from 1 species
AGUGGCGAACGGGUGAGUAAAGCAUCGGAACGUGCCCGGUAGUGCGGGAUAGCUCGGCGAAAGCCGGAUUAAUACCGCAUGAGAUCCGAGGAUGAAAGCGGGGGACCUGCAAGGGCCUUGCGCUACUGGAGCGGCCGAUGUCAGAUUAGGUAGUUGGUGGGGUAAAGGCCUACCAAGCCUGCGAUCUGUAGCUGGUCUGAGAGGAUGAUCAGCCACAUCGGGACUGAGACACGGCCCGAACUCCUACGGGAGGCAGCAGUGGGGAAUUUUGGACAAUGGGGGAAACCCUGAUCCAGCCAUGCCGCGUGCAGGAUGAAGGCCUUCGGGUUGUAAACUGCUUUUGUACGGAACGAAAGGGCUCCUUUUAAUACGGGGGGCAGAUGACGGUACCGUAAGAAUAAGCACCGGCUAACUACGUGCCAGCAGCCGCGGUAAUACGUAGGGUGCGAGCGUUAAUCGGAAUUACUGGGCGUAAGCGUGCGCAGGCGGUCUUGCAAGACAGUGGUGAAAUCCCCGGGCUCAACCUGGGAACUGCCAUUGUGACUGCAAGGCUGGAGUACGGCAGAGGGGGAUGGAAUUUCCGCGUGUAGCAGUGAAAUGCCGU